rnacentral:rRNA from 1 species
UACGUAGGGGGCAAGCGUUUGUCCGGAUUCAUUGGGCGUAAAGAGCGUGUAGGCGGCCAGGUAGGUCGGUUGUGAAAACUGGAGGCUCAACCUUCAGAGGUCGACCGAAACCAUCUGGCUAGAGUCCGGGAGAGGAGAGUGGAAUUCCUGGUGUAGCGGUGAAAUGCGCAGAUAUCAGGAGGAACACCGAUGGCGAAGGCAGGUCUCUGGGCAUUAACUGACGCUGAGGAGCGAAAGCAUGGGGAGCGAACAGG